rnacentral:rRNA from 1 species
GGAGUCUGGGCCGUGUCUCAGUCCCAAUGUGGCCGUUCAACCUCUCAGUCCGGCUACCGAUCGUCGCCUUGGUGGGCCAUUACCCCGCCAACAAGCUAAUCGGACGCGAGUCCAUCUCUCAGCGAUAAAUCUUUGAUAUUCCUGUCAUGCGGCAAGAAUAUAUUAUGCGGUAUUAGCGCUCUUUUCAGGGCGUUAUUCCCCACUGAGAGGCAGGUUACUCACGCGUUACUCACCCGUCCGCCACUAAGUAUUAACAAGCUUCGACCGAAAUCUCUGCAGCGUUAAUACUCCGUUCGACUUGCAUGUGUUAAGCACGCCGCCAGCGUUCAUC